GCCGGGAUGGUGGAAUCGGUAGACGCGCUGGACUCAAAAUCCAGUGUCCGCAAGGACGUGAGGGUUCAAGUCCCUCUCCCGGCACCA
rnacentral:tRNA from 1 species